GCCAGUGUGGCCUAGUGGUUUGAGCACUGGACUAUGACUCUGGAGACCAGGGUUCAAAUCUCGGCUUGGCCA
rnacentral:tRNA from 1 species